rnacentral:tRNA from 2 species
GGGCGAGUGGCGGAAUUCGGUAGACGCGCAGGCUUCAGGUGUCUGUGGGCUUUGGCCCGUGGGGGUUCAAAUCCCCCCUCGCCCACCA